rnacentral:rRNA from 1 species
UACGGGGGGGCAAGCGUUGUUCGGAAUUACUGGGCGUAAAGGGCUCGUAGGCGGCCAACUAAGUCAGACGUGAAAUCCCUCGGCUUAACCGAGGAACUGCCCUCCAAACUGCUUUGCUUGAGGCCGGGAGAGGUGAGUGGAAUUCCCAGUGUAGAGGUGAAAUUCGUAGAUAUUAGGAAGAACACCGGUGGCGAAGGCGGCCCACUGGAUCGGUACUGACGCUGAGGUGCGAAAGCGUGGGGAGCAAACAGG